CCCUUGAUAGCUCAGUUGGCAGAGCGAUGGACUGUAAUUGCUACUCCUGAAUCAUAUCAGAAUAUCCACAGGUCGCCGGUUCAAAUCCGGCUCGAGGGA
rnacentral:tRNA from 1 species